GCCAAGUCAGCAUUGAACUGGCAGAGAAGAAUAACAGAGUUAAGGAACUUGAGGAUCAGCUGGCAUUACAAAGACGUGAACUGACCUCCAUGUCACAGCAAGUGAAUGAAGUGAAAGAAGAGCUGCAUGCCAGUAAUGAAAAGAGAAAGAAGCAGGAGGAGUAUAUUCAAGAGCUAACAAACAAAUUGAAAGUUCGUGAUGAUGAACAUAAGCGUGUUAUGGACGAGUUGACCAAUGCCAAUUCUAAUUCAGCAG
rnacentral:sRNA from 1 species